rnacentral:tRNA from 1 species
CAGGGUGUAGCUCAGCCUGGUAGAGCGCGUGCCUUGGGCGCACGAGGUCGCAGGUUCGAAUCCUGUCUCCCUGACCA